AUUGAACGCUGGCGGCAUGCUUUACACAUGCAAGUCGAACGGUAACAGGCCUUCGGGUGCUGACGAGUGGCGAACGGGUGAGUAAUGCAUCGGAACGUGCCCAAUCGUGGGGGAUAACGUAGCGAAAGUUACGCUAAUACCGCAUAAGCCCUGAGGGGGAAAGUGGGGGACCGCAAGGCCUCACGCGAAUGGAGCGGCCGAUGUCAGAUUAGCUAGUUGGUGGGGUAAAGGCUCACCAAGGCGACGAUCUGUAGCGGGUCUGAGAGGACGAUCCGCCACACUGGGACUGAGACACGGCCCAGACUCCUACGGGAGGCAGCAGUGGGGAAUUUUGGACAAUGGGCGCAGGCCUGAUCCAGCCAUGCCGCGUGCGGGACGAAGGCC
rnacentral:rRNA from 1 species